rnacentral:lncRNA from 1 species
UGUCUGGUCGAUCAGGAACGCAGGGGGCGACCAAAACCCUCCACCAAACCCUAACUUCUACAAAAUUGAUCAAUUGAAGGCCAAUUUCAGUCCCAAAUCAAAAUCCGAACAUAGAUUAGUGAUCCUCAUUACAAGGGGGUUGUAAGGAAAGGAUACCGGAGCGUCGAGUGGACAAGCCGGUGGUGAUUUGCGGUUGAAGGGCGUGCACUAAAGGUGAUGAUAUACCCCGGAUGGUGGGUAUGAGGCGCCAUAGGCUUACUAGCGAACUGGUAAUAAUGGGUGAGGUUAGAACGGGUCGAACGAUAGUAAAGUGGCUUUUAGCCGUAUGAUCGGUGACGAUGUGGAUCUUACGGAUGGCGGUCAAGCAAGUUUUGAAGAACCGAACACACUUUAGAAGCUUCCGCGAUAUCUAAAUUUAAUA